UCAAAUGAACUGAACUCUUCUUUCCCCUCUUGCCCUCCCCCUUCCUCGUAGCCGUCUUCCUCCGUGUUCCCCGGGCGGCGGCGCACAACACCUGUUCGACGGAACGCCGCUCCGGGGCGGGAAGCUUCGACCAUGGCGAGCGGGGAGGACCGCAUAAGCGCCCUCCCGGAGGACAUCCUCCACCAGGUGCUCCGCCUCCUGCCGGCUCAUGAGGUGGUGCGGACGUGCUUGCUCGCCCGGCGCUGGCGCGGCGUCUGGAGGUCCGUGCCCACCCUCUGCUUCACCGGAGCCAAGGGGUGGGGCAGCGCCGACAGGUUCGCCCAAUUCGUGGACCACUUGCUCCACCUCAGGUGCGGGGGCGACGGCCCGCCUCUGGAUUCCUGCGAUUUCGACUUCGAUCACGACGGAUUCAUGCUGUGGCCCGCAAACAAGCGGCGUGCCAGCAUCUGGCUCUGGAAGGCUCUGCCUCGUGUCCGGGCGCUGGGCCUUUGUAUCGUCGAGGAGCUGGAAACCUGGACACGAUUAUCUGAUAAGCAUCUCUUCUCCCAGCACCUCACUAGAUUAGAGCUUGCUGGAGUCAGUGUCAGCGACAGCGUCGUUGAUUUUUCAGGCUGUCCGGCAUUGGUGCAACUGAGUAUGGAUUAUUGCGAUGUUUUUGUCAGACAGCUGGUGUCUCCAUCCUUGAAACAUCUGCGCGUUACCCGCUGCUAUACUUCUCGCAAUUACCGCAUUCUUAUUUCUCUACCAAAUCUUGUUUCGCUCGAGUUCAUCCAGUGGGGCGAAGGAAGGGCUCCAUUGCUUGGAAGCUUGCCGCAGUUAGCAAGAGCUGAUAUUUUUCUUAACGGGGAUUGUGCUGAUCAAUGCUCUGAGGGACGGUUUGAUGGUUGUGAUGCUGAUGACAGUGAUAUCUGUUAUGGUUGUUAUUAUUAUUAUGGGGAUCCUAUACAUGGGCCUCAUUAUGACUGCAACAACUGCAUCGUUCUCAAAGGUUUGUCAGAAGCCACAGACUUGGAGUUGACAGCUUAUCAUGAUCCGACUGUUUUGAACAGGGAUUUGAAGUGGUGCCCUACAUUUACCAAGUUAAAGACUUUGCUACUCAAUGAUUGGUGUCUGGCUGCUGACCACAAUGCACUAAUUUGUUUUCUCCAACAUGCACCAAUUUUGGAGAAGCUUACCAUUCAACUUCCUGAGAAACCUUCAUAUGUAACUGGAGCAGAAGGAAUAUACAAACCAUUGGGACAGUCAGUUGCAUCCAACUGUCUUGAGAUUGUUGAAAUCAAAUGUGCAAAUGUCGAUAGCAGGGUUCACAAAAUUCUGAAGAUUCUGACUAUGUAUGGCAUACACCUUGAGCAAAUUAGUGUCCAACAGACUUGCAAAAUUCCUGGAUCUGGAUGUUUCAAUUUUGUUUGCACUGGUUUCUGCUAAAACCGUAGGGACAAAAUUUGUAUACAUAUAUAAAUGAAGGAAAGGUAAAAAAAAUGCUUGCUGGUUAAAGUUUGGAUGUAAACCAGUUGAUGAACACUUUGUCGUUAUUCCUAGAUCCAAUGAUGAAAAUAGGGAAAAUAAUUGAGGUACAAAUGAUGUCGUGCUGGCCAACAGCAAGAAGUUAGCCACGUUCUCAAGGCGGCCAGCUCCACCGGAGGAGACGGACUCCACUGCAUUCAACGAGCUGCUCAUCAUCGUUCACGAGGCCCUUGUUGCUGCUCACCAUCGUCCCAAAGCCCUAUCCCUUUUGUACUACAUACUAGAAGUAAAUUGAUCAUAGCAGUGUUGUACCUCUGCUAAACAAUUUCUUGUGGCUCAUGAACUUAAUUGAGGGUUAUUCCAAGUC